GCGAUACAGUUUUUCAAUAUCUUCGUCGGCUUUGAGUGGUUUUUAAUCAUUCCGUGACGGGGAAACCUUAAUUUCACGUGCAAAGGCUACGCGAUUCCGUGUCGUUUGUAAUAAAAACAAAAUGUUGCUUUACAACUUAAUCUCAAAGCACUCCAAACGAUCCUAUAACCUUCACAGAUAGUAAAUCGAACGAUAUCUGUAUCUGUGUUUAAUAUUACAAUCCUCUGUGUCCGUAAACAGAGAUAGUAAAACGUAAUAAAACAAAAAGAAGUGUGGAAUAACGUUAAAUCUUAUCAAUCCCUUUUUCACAGCUGCGACGAGUAAUGGCCGACGAACGGAAGCGACGAACACUGAUCCAUCCUGACCUGACAUUCAUUGGAUGAUAAAUCGGCGCUUUAAAAAUCGUAUAUUAACGUUUGCACGAUCGAACAAAUAAUGACAAGCUGCAGUCAAUAUGAAAUAAGAAACUAUUCCAUAUUUUUCAACGACGUUUCUUAGUUCCUUUCACAACGUAAAACACGGUCAGAUCGCCAAAGUUUUUCUGUCUAUACAAUAAAGGCAACCUAUUGACCAUUGAUGGUAAUAAUGUAAAACAUUUUGGUUCAGAAAUAGGCACAAUGUGAGACGGUAUAAUACUCGCUGAUAAUUCGCAUGAUCUCCAUUUGAAAUACGGUUCACUUACUCGAACAUCUAGAGCAGGAGCUCCUACAAUACAGGAUUUCUCAUUUUAGCUAGUCGAUAAGAAGGCAUUGGCGAUCGAUCAACGACAAGGAAAAACAUUUCGUUUGCACGGAUCUGAUACAUCCCUGGGUCCUACAGGGUUUAAUAUCGUGAAGGGUAGCCGAGAGGAAGGAAGAUAGGGGCGACCCUAAAGCGAGGGAGUGCUGUUGCUAAAGCCGCGAGCAUGAAGGGAUCUUCGAAUAAAAAAAGGUAGGACCUACUGAGCGAGCGUACCAACGAGAAAGAAUGAGAAACUGCGAGUGAGAUACGAGAGAGAGAGAGAGAGAGAGAGAGAGAGAGAGAGAGAGAGAGGGCGAGAGAAUCCGGUCCCCCUCCUUUCGAGACCAGGGAAAGGCCGUACCCACGCAGUUCUUGAAGAUCAUACUGGGUCCCCGCUGGCACAGCCCUGAGCGAGUAAGUAAACACGCCAAAGUUCUGGUACUUCGACGUGGAACGAAGCAUUUUCCACAAGGCUGGAUACCCUCGUGAAGCACAAACGGUCACUCGCCCUGUACCGGGUGUUAUGAAAGUAUCGGGAGGUGAUGCUAUAUUAGGGUGCGGACCAACACCAGCAAUGCUCCAUGGUUCUCAGUUUACACGGUUUUCCCUUCGAACGCCGUCGAGGACAAUUCAGUUAACAUCGUCGGGUACUAACCAUCCCACAAAUGGAAGCACAAAAACCAUCUUCACGCUGUUUCGAGGGACAAAGAAUGCUUAUGGGAUCGGGACCCUCGACAGGAACCGAAAAAAUGAGGAUUCGUCACGACGCCCGGUUCCUCGAUGAUACCAAAUUACACGAUCGUGGCGCAUGGACACACAUGGACGAGAAGAACCUUCGAAACACGACGCAGGGGAGGUACCAUGAUGGUUCUGCUGUUCACGACGGAGUUCCGUUCGGGUUUAUAAAGGGACGGACGAAGAUCGCGCGGAUCCUCGAGCAUUGUUAACUCCGAUCACACCGCGUAUCGGCGAAGUUGCGUCGCAUUUUAUCGGGCGGAAGGGGGGUGGCAUGUUUAAGGCGAAUUCGUGUCGGCGGUGUGACGUCCGUGUUGUGACAAUACGCGAACGUAAGAUAAUCAGAAUGCACACGCUCGGACAGUGUAGUUGGCUGGUUUGGUUAAGCCAAAGUUGACGCGUGGCAACGCUGCGGCGCGCAGCUGUCACACGCGUCAUGCAUCGAGUCAAAGCUCAACUUAUUCUACAUAAGUGUUUUAUAAGAGACGAGGGUUUCUGUCUCCUUCCUCGUGUGGACUUGCUCGAUCAUUCGCGAACUCCGUUUCCACUGGCUACACCUAUCAGUAGAUGCUAACUCUUUUCCUGAACGCGGUUGUUGUUGGUAGCUGGUAUAGGCUGUUUCAUUUAUUUAGGUCGGGUAUUAGUGUUAUAUGCAAGUGGACAACAGACAAAGUUUGUUUAAUUACAGUAGUUAUAAAUGUAUUUCGCAUUCGUUGAUUGACAUGGGAUGGAAGAGAUGUUCAUGAAAUAGGUGUAUAACAAAUUUGGAUUGGAUUGGAAACGUUCAGCAUGUAUCAACUAUUUAUUUCUCUCUCUUCAUGAUUAGUUAACAAGACAGAUGCAUCGUAUCAAAUGUAAUGCUAGGAAUCUACGGUGGUCUACAGCGGUUCUCAGACAAAAUGGCGGCGAACUUGUUAAUAUGCUAGUCAGAUAAUUUAAAUUCGAAGUAACUUUCCUAUUCCCGUGGACGGAACGGUGUAAAGAAAAGUAGGAGUAUCUACUGAGAUAGCGCAAGGUUUUUAUUUUCUUAUAAACACUAUAUUAAAUGAAAGAGUGUAUUACUGGUUGAUACGUUUUUUUAUGAGACAAUUCCAUUGAAACGUAUACGAAAAAUACAGUAGAUAAUAUACUCAACGGUGCUACACAGUAUCAAAAUGAGUGCAACGACCUCCCGAAAGAGUAGUCAUUCCUGAAACAUUUUGUAAAACUGAUUCUAAAAUAAAAUCUAGUAAACUCGAG